UACGAAGGGGGCGAGCGUUGUUCGGAAUUACUGGGCGUAAAGGGCGCGCAGGCGGCUCUGAAAGUCAGAUGUGAAAGCCCCGGGCUUAACCUGGGAAUCUGCAUUUGAUACUCUGGAGCUUGAGUACGGGAGAGGAGAGUGGAAUUCCCAGUGUAGAGGUGAAAUUCGUAGAUAUUCGCAAGAACACCAGUGGCGAAGGCGGCUCACUGGCCCGGUACUGACGCUGAGGUGCGAAAGCGUGGGGAGCAAACAGG
rnacentral:rRNA from 1 species